AUUGAACGCUGGCGGCAUGCCUUACACAUGCAAGUCGAACGGUAACAGGUUAAGCUGACGAGUGGCGAACGGGUGAGUAAUGUAUCGGAACGUGCCCAGUCGUGGGGGAUAACUGCUCGAAAGAGCAGCUAAUACCGCAUACGACCUGAGGGUGAAAGCGGGGGAUCGCAAGACCUCGCGCGAUUGGAGCGGCCGAUAUCAGAUUAGGUAGUUGGUGAGGUAAAGGCUCACCAAGCCGACGAUCUGUAGCUGGUCUGAGAGGACGACCAGCCACACUGGGACUGAGACACGGCCCAGACUCCUACGGGAGGCAGCAGUGGGGAAUUUUGGACAAUGGGCGCAAGCCUGAUCCAGCCAUGCCGCGUGCGGGAAGAAGGCCUUCGGGUUGUAAACCGCUAUUGUCAGGGAAGAAAAGGUUCUGGCUAAUACCUGGGACUCAUGACGGUACCUGAAGAAUAAGCACCGGCUAACUACGUG
rnacentral:rRNA from 1 species